AUUGAACGCUGGCGGCAUGCCUUACACAUGCAAGUCGAACGGCAGCACGGGAGCAAUCCUGGUGGCGAGUGGCGAACGGGUGAGUAAUAUAUCGGAACGUGCCCAGUCGUGGGGAGUAACGUAGCGAAAGACUACGCUAAUACCGCAUACGAUCUACGGAUGAAAGACGGGGGAGUCGCAAGACCUCGCGCGAUUGGAGCGGCCGAUAUCAGAUUAGGUAGUUGGUGAGGUAAAGGACUCACCAAGCCGACGAUCUGUAGCUGGUCUGAGAGGACGACCAGCCACACUGGGACUGAGACACGGCCCAGACUCCUACGGGAGGCAGCAGUGGGGGAA
rnacentral:rRNA from 1 species